rnacentral:rRNA from 1 species
AGGCCUAACACAUGCAAGUCGAACGGAGUUAUAUUGUAGCUUGCUAUGGUAUAACUUAGUGGCAGACGGGUGAGUAAUGUAUAGGAAUCUACCUAGUAGUACGGAAUAAUUGUUGGAAACGACAACUAAUACCGUAUACGCCCUACGGGGGAAAAAUUUAUUGCUAUUAGAUGAGCCUAUAUUAGAUUAGCUAGUUGGUGGGGUAAUAGCCUACCAAGGUAAUGAUCUAUAGCUGAUCUGAGAGGAUGAUCAGCCACACUGGAACUGAGAUACGGUCCAGACUCCUACGGGAGGCAGCAGUGGGGAAUAUUGGACAAUGGGCGAAAGCCUGAUCCAGCCAUGCCGCAUGAGUGAAGAAGGCCUUUGGGUUGUAAAGCUCUUUUAGUGAGGAAGAUAAUGACGGUACUCACAGAAGAAGUCCUGGCUAACUCCGUGCCAGCAGCCGCGGUAAUACGGAGAGGGCUAGCGUUAUUCGGAAUUAUUGGGCGUAAAGGGCGCGUAGGCUGGUUAAUAAGUUAAAAGUGAAAUCCCGAGGCUUAACCUUGGAAUUGCUUUUAAAACUAUUAAUCUAGAGAUUGAAAGAGGAUAGAGGAAUUCCUGAUGUAGAGGUAAAAUUCGUAAAUAUUAGGAGGAACACCAGUGGCGAAGGCGUCUAUCUGGUUCAAAUCUGACGCUGAAGCGCGAAGGCGUGGGGAGCAACAGAUAGAUACCCUGUAGUCCACGCUGUAACGAUGAAUGUAAUAUGGGGGAGUUUACUU